UCUGCAGGUUGAUAUUUAAGUCUUUUGUUAAACCUCCGGGCUCAACCCGGGAAUCUGCAAAGGAAACUACUUAUCUUGAGUAUGGUAGGGGUAAAGGGAAUUUCCAGUGGAGCGGUGAAAUGCGUAGAUAUUGGAAAGAACACCAACAGCGAAGGCACUUUACUGGGCCAGUACUGACACUCAGAGACGAAAGCUAGGGGAGCAAACA
rnacentral:rRNA from 1 species